rnacentral:pre_miRNA from 11 species
CGCUGCCUUCAGCUUCUUUACAGUGCUGCCUUGUUGCUUAUGGAUCAAGCAGCAUUGUACAGGGCUAUGAAGGCAUUG